UUUUUUUUUGAGACAGGGUCUGGCUCUGUCAUGGAGGCUGGAACCUGGCUCACUGCAACCUCUGCCUCCCGGGUUCAAGCAGUUCUCAUGCCUCAGUCUCCCGAGUAGCUGGGACUACAGGCGCGCAUCACCACACCUGGCUGAUUUUUUUCUGUUUUUGGCAGAGACAGGAUUUCACCAUGCUGGCCAAGCUGAGGAUGUGUCCUAACUCUGUAAAGCUCCAUCUCCUGCUUAAUGGGACCCUGAGGUGUUUGGUUCCAAUCUGAGGAGGGCUGAGGUCACCGAGGACUCUAAGCACACCAGGUGGUGUGAUCAUGUUUCCCGCAUAGUAAUUAGGGGAGUGAUGAGGACAUCUGAGCCCUGUAUGGGGGCUGGUCCCAGGCCUGGGAGGGGUCCUUGGAGAGUGUUUUUCUAGAGUUGGUGGGUGUUUUUCUAGAGUUGGUGGGUGUUUUUCUAGAGUUGGUGGGUGAAGGGCGUGGGGGUUGAAGAUUCAGAACAAUAGUAUUUCAAAGGUGCUUUUUUUUGUUUGUUUGUUUUGAGAGAGUCUCUCUGUUGCCUAUGCUGGAGUAUAGUGGGACAAUCUCAGCUCACUGCAACCUCUACCUCCCGGGUUCAAGCGAUUCUCUUUUGCAGACUCCCAAGUAGCUGGGAUUACAUGUAUGCGCCACCAUGCCCGGCUAAUUUUUGUAUUUUUAGUAGAGACUGAGUUUCACCGUGUUGGGCAGGC
rnacentral:lncRNA from 10 species